UACAGAGGGUGCAAGCGUUAAUCGGAAUUACUGGGCGUAAAGCGCACGUAGGCGGCUUUGUAAGUUAGAGGUGAAAGCCCGGAGCUCAACUUCGGAAUUGCCUUUAAGACUGCAUCGCUUGAAUCAUGGAGAGGUCAGUGGAAUUCCGAGUGUAGAGGUGAAAUUCGUAGAUAUUCGGAAGAACACCAGUGGCGAAGGCGACUGACUGGACAUGUAUUGACGCUGAGGUGCGAAAGCGUGGGGAGCAAACAGG
rnacentral:rRNA from 1 species